rnacentral:lncRNA from 1 species
CCCCCACCCCAAGCAAAAACCAAGAAACAAGAAACCAUAUUUUCACUCAUCCAAACCCAGUUCCACAACUAAACACCACCAUCAACAGCUGCUUCAUACUUGUCCCAGAUCUUCAAUUAGUCACUUCAAAAUCAAGAAACAACACAAACCCUAAAGACCCUUUUCUUCAAAUAAGCUGCAGAAGCAACUGAACCACAGAUCUUGAAGUUAAACAAACUAGAAACCCUUAAAGAGCAACAGUAACAGUAGUAAAAGAAACAACUUUUUGGUUACUUCAAGAUCUCUACUGCUCUACAGAGUGAGUGAGAGCUCAAGUAGGCUAUUCAGUAGAUCUCUUAAGCUGUACUUUUUUCCUUUUUUUUUUCUUUAUUUUUUGAGUUGAUUGGAUUUUCUUUUCACAUAUUGAAAGCUACAGAAGAAAGAAGGAAAGAGAAAUAGGAAAAGGGACCCCAAGAAUUUAAGGAAGUGAAGAUUGUGAAAUGCUGCUAAGUUUGGGAACUGUUCCUUCACACUCCUUUCCAAUUCUGAAUUAUUAAAACAAACCAUAAGUCAUAUAAAAAUCCAUCAUUGCC